GUCCCUGUAGAGCAAUAAUAGAUAGUGCGUUGGACUUCUAAUUCAAUGUUCGUGGGCUCAAAUCCCUCUUGGGAUG